UCAGCACGGUGUAGGUGAGACUCGUGCAGGUGUCAGAUUUCAUGUGGAACGUCAGCCAAUGAGACAUUCACAUCGCAGCCCUGUCAAACGCGCACAGGAGUUAAGACAGCCAGGAAGUUCCCAUUCCGCCAGGAAGGUUGACAUAGGAGCUCAUAUGAGAAUAGAGACAGUCAUCAGCGCAUGUGAACGACACAUCCAGCAGUGGACUAAAAUUUGGAGGAAUAAGUUUUGGUCAAAGUGGGACAUGGGAAGGACUCGUGAUACCCUGAAUAAGAAGAUGCUGCGUUUACUCUUUCUGUUUUUGAUUCUUCGAGGUGCAGUUGACGAUGAAGACGGUGAUGCUCCAGUGGAGACAAGGCGUAUUCAAUAUUCAGAUCCUGGAGAAAUUCCUAAAGUAGGUCCCGGAUCAGAUAGAUCCACAGGAGAUGAUGAAGCUAAUGAAGGUGGAACAUUGAUAAUCAUCAUAGCUGCCGUUAGCGUCAUAGUUCUGGCCAUUGGAGGCAUUGUAGCUAUUUUCCUCUUCAGACGCUACUUGCAAAGCCGAGAACAAGGGGUCUACUCUGUGCCAGCAGAGCAAGGACAGAAAGCUGCUGUGUAACCAUGAGGGCCUUUUCAUUUCCUCUCUCCACUGGAUCCUUUCAGGGAUGAGCUGCAAGCAUGUGAUUUCUCAUCCGAACAUGUCUCUAUCUACAGUAUAGCGGAUCCUAUAACGUCAGUAGACGAGAAUGUGUUGCUAUCAUAAAUUUUCUAUGAACUGUUUUUAAAAGCACAAUAUAUACCGUUUAUGCACACAUGCCAUAUGUUGCACUCACAGAGAAAGUCCUUGGACUGUGGAGUACAGCU
ensembl:lncRNA